UACGUAGGGUGCGAGCGUUAAUCGGAAUUACUGGGCGUAAAGCGUGCGCAGGCGGUUUUGUAAGCCAGAUGUGAAAUCCCCGGGCUCAACCUGGGAAUGGCAUUUGGGACUGCAAGGCUGGAGUACGGCAGAGGAGACUGGAAUUCCUGGUGUAGCAGUGAAAUGCGUAGAUAUCAGGAGGAACACCGGUGGCGAAGGCGGGUCUCUGGGCCGAUACUGACGCUGAGGAGCGAAAGCGUGGGGAGCGAACAGG
rnacentral:rRNA from 1 species